rnacentral:rRNA from 1 species
UGGUGGAGUGAUUUGUCUGGUUAAUUCCGUUAACGAACGAGACCUCAGCCUACUAAAUAGUGGGAGGAACAAUUGUUCCUUUACCACUUCUUAGAGGGACAUUCGGUUUCUAGCCGAAGGAAGUUUGAGGCAAUAACA